UGUGUCCUACGGGACGCAGCAGUGAGGAAUAUUGGUCAAUGGUCGGGAGACUGAACCAGCCAAGCCGCGUGAGGGAGGAAGGUACAGAGUAUCGUAAACCUCUUUUGUCAGGGGACAAAGACUGGGACGCGUCCCCGGAUGAGUGUACCUGAAGAAAAAGCAUCGGCUAACUCCGUGCCGGCAGCCGCGGUAAUACGGAGGAUGCGAGCGUUAUCCGGAUUUAUUGGGUUUAAAGGGUGCGUAGGCGGGCUUUUAAGUCAGCGGUAAAAAUUCGGGGCUCAACCCCGUCCGGCCGUUGAAACUGG
rnacentral:rRNA from 1 species